GACGGAGGAUGCAAGCGUUAUCCGGAAUUAUUGGGCGUAAAGCGUCCGUAGGCGGUUUAUCAAGUCUGCUGUCAAAGACUACAGCUUAACUGUGGGCCGGCGGUGGAAACUGAUGAACUGGAGUGCGGUAGGGGUAGAGGGAAUUCCCAGUGUAGCGGUGAAAUGCGUAGAUAUUGGGAAGAACACCAGUGGCGAAGGCGCUCUACUGGGCCGUAACUGACGCUGAGGGACGAAAGCUAGGGGAGCGAAA
rnacentral:rRNA from 1 species